AUAGCGUUGAUAAAACGUGUGAUUAUAUCCAAAACGCGAUCGACUUGAUAACUCCGUUACGAAUCCGCGCUGCUUGCAUCCGAGUUGAAACACGCUGUUUCGUGUUUUUGAUGAUUACGGCUUAAGUUGAACACCCACAUACCUACGUAAAACAUGGAGAAACGAAAACUAAGUUAUUACUCUAGAUAUCUUUGUUCGAUAAAAACCAACGGUGGAAUUACGCGUUCUGCUGAGAUCACGUUCUUGUUCUAAUUGGAUGGACAUCAACUUGACAAUUACAACGAGCUGCAGUACUACUAUGUAUACUGUUAUUUACAAGCGCACCUAUGGGGUUGAACUGUGAUUCACCUAUAAAAAGGGUUCCAACCCUUUUUUAACCAGCUGCAGUAGUUUAUUAUAUGCAUUAAAAAAAGGGUGCGAAAAAGCAAAAUGGUUCCUGUGCAGUUAAAAGGGUGUUUGUAUAUCAGUGCUGACAGAGCAUAUGCUUGCGAGUGCGCACCAUCAGACUGAAUCGCAUAUCAUUGGGGAACAGAGACUUACACUGUGGAGCGAAGAAAAAAAAGGGUAAAUGGCAUUUAUUUUUUAGCCAACCACAGUGCUUCAUGCAAAAGAGUCCAAAGGGUUCCUGCCGUACGCUGUAGUUGUUCGAUGCCGAAACUAACAACGCCACAGUUGUAUUUGUGUGCUCGACCAGUACACUUGUUGUAGUUUUAGUUUAUGAUCAUCAGUGUUAUCUUAUAUAUUUCAGUUAAUAAUUAUAUUUUUUACUUUAAAUGUUGUUUUUUAGUGCAUAAAUGUGUUGUUUUCUUUUCAAAAUAACCAAUGAAAUGGAAUAACUAUUAAUUGAUUUGAAUUGAACAUGGAUUAAUGAUGGAGAGAACAUCCACAAA